UCAAGUUUGUUGAAUGAAGAUAUUAAGUACUCAAUAAGAUAUACUAUGAUGCCAAGUUGUGCUUAGGUGCCUAAGAUAGAAAGAUACAAGUACUCAAUAGGCAAUCAAAUUGUGCCUCUCGCCAUCAAUAAGAUACCAUUUAUUAAUGAACUUAGGUGCCUAAGACAAAAAUGCAAAUUAGUUCAAUUGCGCGGUCUCUAAUUCAAUUUAGGAUCAUGAUUAUGAUGAUCUUUAUUCUUACAAUACUUCAGUUAAGAUCACAAUUUGAAACAAAUGUCAAAUGCAUAAAAGUGUUUAUAAUAUGGCCCUGUGCAUAAAAGAGUAUAGGCAUGUUUCAUAGUGCACACCAAAAACUACUUAUAUGCUCCAUAUAUCCUCCAAAGGAGAUAUUAUAAGUUACUUAACUACUCCCU
rnacentral:lncRNA from 1 species